rnacentral:lncRNA from 1 species
UUCUACAUUUUUCUAAAGACACCCUUCGUUAAGUAACCCUGUAACUCUCUCCAUACCUCACACGCACCCGAUUCGUGCUUUCCCUUUUCAUUUCAGUGAUUUCUCUUCCCUUUCUCCAUCUUCAGUUCACCCACGCACAAAACAAGACAAAAAAAAACCCACAGAAGAAUCUUCCACUUCGCGAGAGAAAGAGCGAGCGCUCUGCGUAACGCCCUGGGCAUCUCCGAAUCCGGAUCCGAUCUCUCUCCACACGAACCGUUUACGACUUUUCUAGAUCUGAUUGAGGUAACUAACCUCCUCCUCAAAUUUAUUGUUAAUUUAAUGCUAUACCUAUGGAUUUUAGUAGAUCUGGGUAUGAUGCGUUGCUAGUAUUGUUUCAUGGUGGAUUCGGUUUUGGUGUCUGGAAUGUGCUUUUACUCUUUUAUUUUAAAUAAGUAAUUGCAUUGCUCUGCAGUUCUAAAUAUCUGAUCUGCUAUUGAUUUUUUUUUAAAGUAAAGCUUCCUAAUCAGAUCUAACUGUAUUAAGAUGAUGCUCGUAUCGAUAGAUAUACGAGUUUAUGGUUAAUUAAUGGAUCUAUCAUUGGCUAAGAGUUUUGGAAUUUUGAAUGACUCUAUUGUUUUGGUGUGGCG